AUGAUUCAGUUCAACACGGAUCACCAAAAGCUUCGCAUUAGCAAUUUUAUUGGAAAAGGUGGCUUCGGUGAAGUUUACAAGGGCAUUCUUGAUAAUGAACAAGUCGCUGUGAAGAAGCCGAUUAGUGGUAGUGUGCUAGAGAAUGAACAAUUUGCAAAUGAAGUCAUCAUUCAAUCUCAAGUCAUCCACAAGAACAUCGUUAGGCUCAUAGGUUGUUGCCUAGAAGUUGAUCUCCCAAUUCUAGUCUAUGAGUUCCUCUGCAAUGGUAGCCUCGAUGACAUUCUUCAUGGAAACAACAAGGUGCCUCUCAACUUGGGUGUACGUUUAAGUAUUGCUGCAGAAUCAGCAGAUGGUCUGGUUUAUAUGCACUCAAAAACCAAUACCAAGAUCCUACAUGGUGAUGUUAAACCAGCAAAUAUACUCUUGGAUGAUAAGUUUGUGCCAAAGAUCUCAGACUUUGGCAUAUCAAGGUUGAUUGCGAGAGACAAACAGCACACGGGAUCUAUCAUUGGUGACAUGAGUUAUGUGGAUCCAGUAUAUCUACAAACAGGCCUACUAACCGAAAAAAGUGAUGUCUACAGUUUUGGAGUUGUCAUCUUAGAACUUAUCAGUAGGAAGAAAGCCACACAUUCCGACGGCAGUAGCUUAGUAAACAAUUUCCUUGAAGCUUACAAAAAAGAGAAGGAAGCAACUCAGUUGUUUGACAAGGAAAUUGCAGUAACUGAAGAUUUGGAGAUUCUUGGUAGUUUGGCAGGGAUCGCUGUGGAAUGUCUUAACCUUGAUGUGGAUCAAAGACCAUGGAUGACAGACGUAGCAGAGCGUCUUCUCAAAAUGGAUCGAUCCCGUAAGUCGCAAUUUGCCCUGCAUAAUCCAGUUUGA
rnacentral:rRNA from 1 species